CAGAUUUAUAGAUUUUUGCUGUUGCUUUAAAAAGGUUUGACAUUAUCAAAUAACCUUUUAAUAUUAAACACCACCUGAGUACAUACAAGAUGCUUCUAUUCCUUGGGCAAAAUAAGCUAAAAAGAAGACAUUUACCAUGUUCUAAAAAGUCAAAAACUGUAAAUGCAGCACUAUUGAACUUGCAAAGAUAUUGGGAACUAUUUAUUGAAUAGUCAACAGGGUCACAAGAACAUGUUACAAAAAAGAGGAAGCAAAUUAACAACCAAAGGUUUGAGAAGAGUCAAACAUGAAGCUACCAGGAAGCCAUUCUACUUCACUGCUGUCAUAUUCCAGAGCGGCACCCUUCCUGGAGUUCUCAGAUACUUUUAAAACCUGCAACAGAGUUAUUACGUUGCAGCUGCUCCCGAGUCCUGAGAUUAUGGUUGUCCCAAUGAAAGGAGCCAUGAUGAUGGAAAAGCAGCGUUUAAGGCAUAAGUGCUUAAAGAAGAGUGCAGUCUGAAACACCAAACCCGAUGAGGACAACAAAGGCACAUCCAAAAAAAUCCACUGGAUUGAGUGGCAGAUUGAGAAAAUCAACUGUGGAAAGCGAUGCAGAGUGGAUCAUAACAUAAAUUACCUCCUCAUGUAUAAUGGAUAUGCUCAGGGGCUGUGGAUUGCUUGCCAGCUUCAAAUCGCUUUCCCCCCCCCCAUUUGUGUCUACCGGUCCAUUG